rnacentral:rRNA from 1 species
UACGGAGGGUGCGAGCGUUGUCCGGAAUCACUGGGCGUAAAGGGCGCGUAGGCGGUUCGGUAAGCGUGCGGUGAAAGCCCGGGGCUCAACCCCGGGUCGGCCGUGCGGACUGCCAGACUGGAGCACUGUAGAGGCGGGUGGAAUUCCGGGUGUAGCGGUGGAAUGCGUAGAGAUCCGGAAGAACACCGGUGGCGAAGGCGGCCCGCUGGGCAGUGGCUGACGCUGAGGCGCGACAGCGUGGGGAGCAAACAGG